rnacentral:rRNA from 1 species
GUCAAACCUGCCCAGUGAAUUAAUUUUUAACGGCCGCGGUAUCCUAACCGUGCAAAGGUAGCAUAAUCACUUGUCCCCUAAAUAGAGACUCGUAUGAACGGUUAAAUGAGGGCCUAACUGUCUCCUGCAGCCAAUCAAUAAAAUUGACCUUACAGUACAAACGCUGUAAUAAAUAUAUAAGACGAGAAGACCCUGUGGAGCUUUAAAUUUUUACAUUAUUUAAUAUAUCCUAAAUUUUUCAUUAAUAUAAUGUAAGUUUUAAGUUGGGGCGACUAUGGAAUAAAAAGAAACCUCCAUGUAAAACACGAUUAAACCUUGUCACGCAAGGCUAACAAGCCUAACAAAAUUUAAACCGACCCAGUAAAACUGACCACCGAACCAAGUUACCCCAGGGAUAACAGCGCCAUCCCCUUAAAGAGUCCACAUCGACAGGGGGGUUUACGACCUCGAUGUUGGAUCAGGACACCCAAGUGGUGCAGCAGCUACUAAAGGUUCGUUUGUUCAACGAA